rnacentral:rRNA from 1 species
CAGUAGCCACGGUAAUCCGAAGGGGGCUAGCGUUACUCGGAAUGACUGGGCGUAAAGGGCGCGUAGGCGGUUUUGACAGUCAGAUGUGAAAUUCCUGGGCUUAACCUGGGGGCUGCAUUUGAGACGUCAAGACUAGAGUGUGAGAGAGGGUUGUGGAAUUCCCAGUGUAGAGGUGAAAUUCGUAGAUAUUGGGAAGAACACCGGUGGCGAAGGCGGCAACCUGGCUCAUUACUGACGCUGAGGCGCGAAAGCGUGGGGAGCAAACAGGAUUAGAGACCCCAGUAGUCCCUGUCUCUUAUAC